rnacentral:rRNA from 1 species
GGGGGUAACCCUGGCGAUGAGUGGUGGAUGGGUGAGUAAUACGUAGGAAUUUGUCCAUUUGUGGGGGACAACCCGGGGAAACCCGGGCUAAUACCGCAUACGCUCUAUGGAGGAAAGCGGGGGAUUGUAAGACCUCGCGCUAAUGGAUGAGCCUACGUCGGAUUAGCUAGUUGGUAGGGUAACGGCCUACCAAGGCGACGAUCCGUAGUUGGUUUGAGAGGAUGAUUAGUUAUAUUGGGAUUGAGAUAUGGCCCAGACUCCUACGGGAGGCAGCAGUGGGGAAUAUUGGAUAAUGGGGGUAACCCUGAUCCAGCAAUGCCGCGUGUGUGAAGAAGGCCUGCGGGUUGUAAAGCACUUUCAGUGGGGAAGAAAAAAUUGGAAUUAAUAUUUCCGAUCUUGACGUUACCCAUAGAAGAAGCACCGGCUAACUCCGUGCCAGUAGUUGUGGUAAUACGGAGGGUGCAAGCGUUAAUCGGAAUUACUGGGCGUAAAGCGCACGUAGGUGGCUAAGUUAGUCGAUUGUGAAAGCCCUGGGUUUAAUUUGGGAAUUGCAGUCGAUACUACUUGGCUAGAGUAUGGGAGAGGGCAGUGGAAUUCCCGGUGUAGUGGUGAAAUGUGUAGAUAUCGGGAGGAAUAUUAGUGGUGAAGGUGGCUGCCUGGCCCAAUACUGAUAUUUAGGUGCGACAGCGUGGGGAGUAAACAGGAUUAGAUAUCCUGGUAGUCCACGCCGUAAAUGAUGAGAACUAGAUGUCGGGGGGGAUUAGCCCCUCGGUGUCGUAGCUAAUGUGCUAAGUUCUCCGCCUGGGGAGUACGGCCGCAAGGUUGAAACUCAAAGGAAUUGAUGGGGACCCGUAUGAGCGGUGGAGCAUGUGGUUUAAUUCGAUGCAAUGUGAAGAAUUUUACCUGGUCUUGAUAUCCUCGGAACCCUGCAGAGAUGCGGGGGUGCCUUCGGGAGCCGAGAGACAGGUGCUGCAUGGCUGUCGUCAGUUUGUGUCGUGAGAUGUUGGGUUAAGUCCCGCAACGAGCGCAACCCUUGUCCCUAGUUGUUAUCAUUUAGUUGGGAACUCUAGGGAGACCGCCGGUGAUAAACCGGAGGAAGGUGGGGAUGACGUCAAGUCAUCAUGGCCCUUAUGACCAGGGUUACACACGUGCUACAAUGGCCGGUAUAGAGGGUUGCCAACCCGUGAGGGGGAGCUAAUCCCAGAAAGCCGGUCGUAGUCCGGAUCGGAGUCUGUAAUUUGACUCCGUGAAGUUGGAAUCGCUAGUAAUCGCGAAUUAGUAAUGUCGCGGUGAAUAUGUUUUCGGGUCUUGUAUAUAUUGCUUGUUAUACCAUGGAAGUUGAUUGCACCAGAAGUCGGUAGCUUAACCGUAAGGGGAGCGCCGCUUACGGUGUGGUCAAUGACUGGGGUGAAGUUGUAAUAAGGUA